UGAGUGGCGACGGGUGAGUAACGCGUGGGCAACCUGGCCUGUACAGGGGGAUAACACUUAGAAAUAGGUGCUAAUACCGCAUAACAGGAGAAGACGCAUGUCUUUUCCUUGAAAACUCCGGUGGUGUAAGAUGGACCCGCGUCUGAUUAGCUGGUUGGCGGGGUAACGGCCCACCAAGGCGACGAUCAGUAGCCGGCCUGAGAGGGUGACCGGCCACAUUGGGACUGAGACACGGUCCAAACUCCUACGGGAGGCAGCAG
rnacentral:rRNA from 1 species